AACAUUCUGGAAAGUAUAACCAUAGAGGGUGAUAGUCCCGUAUGCGAAAAACAAACCUUAGCUAGCAGUAUCCUGAGUAGGGCGGGACACGAGGAAUCCUGUCUGAAUCCGGGUCGACCACGAUCCAACCCUAAAUACUAAUACCAGAUCGAUAGUGCACAAGUACCGUGAGGGAAAGGUGAAAAGAACUGAGGUGAUCAGAGUGAAAUAGAACCUGAAACCAUUUGCUUACAAUCAUUCAGAGCCCUAUGUAGCAAUACAGGGUGAUGGACUGCCUUUUGCAUAAUGAGCCUGCGAGUUGUGGUGUCUGGCAAGGUUAAGCAAACGCGAAGCCGUAGCGAAAGCGAGUCUGAAUAGGGCGCUUAGUCAGAUGCUGCAGACCCGAAACGAAGUGAUCUAUCCAUGAGCAAGUUGAAGCUAGUGUAAGAACUAGUGGAGGACUGAACCCAUAGGCGUUGAAAAGCCCCGGGAUGACUUGUGGAUAGGGGUGAAAGGCCAAUCAAACUUCGUGAUAGCUGGUUCUCUCCGAAAUAUAUUUAGGUAUAGCGUUGUGUCGUAAUAUAAGGGGGUAGAGCACUGAAUGGGCUAGGGCAUACACCAAUGUACCAAACCCUAUCAAACUCCGAAUACCUUAUAUGUAAUCACAGCAGUCAGGCGGCGAGUGAUAAAAUCCGUCGUCAAGAGGGAAACAACCCAGACUACCAGCUAAGGUCCCUAAGUCUUACUUAAGUGGAAAACGAUGUGAAGUUACUUAAACAACCAGGAGGUUGGCUUAGAAGCAGCCAUCCUUUAAAGAAAGCGUAAUAGCUCACUGGUCUAGUGAUUUUGCGCGGAAAAUAUAACGGGGCUAAAGUAAGUACCGAAGCUGUAGACUUAGUUUACUAAGUGGUAGGAGAGCGUUCUAUUUGCGUCGAAGGUAUACCGGUAAGGAGUGCUGGAGCGAAUAGAAGUGAGCAUGCAGGCAUGAGUAGCGAUAAUUAAUGUGAGAAUCAUUAACGCCGUAAACCCAAGGUUUCCUACGCGAUGCUCGUCAUCGUAGGGUUAGUCGGGUCCUAAGUCGAGUCCGAAAGGGGUAGACGAUGGCAAAUUGGUUAAUAUUCCAAUACCAACAUUAGUGUGCGAUGGAAGGACGCUUAGGGCUAAGGGGGCUAGCGGAUGGAAGUGCUAGUCUAAGGUCGUAGGAGGUUAUACAGGCAAAUCCGUAUAACAAUACUCCGAGAACUGAAAGGCUUUUUGAAGUCUUCGGAUGGAUAGAAGAACCCCUGAUGCCGUCGAGCCAAGAAAAGUUUCUAAGUUUAGCUAAUGUUGCCCGUACCGUAAACCGACACAGGUGGGUGGGAUGAGUAUUCUAAGGCGCGUGGAAGAACUCUCUUUAAGGAACUCUGCAAAAUAGCACCGUAUCUUCGGUAUAAGGUGUGGUUAGCUUUGUAUUAGGAUUUACUCCGAAAGCAAGGAAACUUACAACAAAGAGUCCCUCCCGACUGUUUACCAAAAACACAGCACUCUGCUAACUCGUAAGAGGAUGUAUAGGGUGUGACGCCUGCCCGGUGCUCGAAGGUUAAUUGAUGGGGUUAGCAUUAGCGAAGCUCUUGAUCGAAGCCCGAGUAAACGGCGGCCGUAACUAUAACGGUCCUAAGGUAGCGAAAUUCCUUGUCGGUUAAAUACCGACCUGCAUGAAUGGCGUAACGAGAUGGGAGCUGUCUCAAAGAGGGAUCCAGUGAAAUUGUAGUGGAGGUGAAAAUUCCUCCUACCCGCGGCAAGACGGAAAGACCCCGUGGACCUUUACUACAGCUUGACACUGCUACUUGGAUAAGAAUGUGCAGGAUAGGUGGGAGGCUUUGAGUAUAUGACGCCAGUUGUAUA
rnacentral:rRNA from 1 species